rnacentral:lncRNA from 10 species
GGGGCUUCUGGUCCCUCCCAGGCAAACGCUGAUGAUUAGUGACAAGGCAUAAAGGUGCCAAGUCUCACCAGUACAAAAUCAAUGGCUGGCGUGGGUUAAAUUUCUGUCCAGAAAUGAUUAUGGAACUAGCAAGACAUACUUUAUUAAAUAUUUUAAUGAAUCAGCAUCAUUUCAUUUCUUUUAUUCGCAUCUUGCACUUUCAUUUUUACUGACUUCUUUUUUUAUUUUUUAUUUUUUCAUUAAUUAAUUAAUUUUUUUUGUUUUUUUUUUUUUUAGAGGGAGUCUCACCCUGUUGCCCAGGCUGGAGUGCAAUGGCACGAUCUCGGCUCACUGCAACCUCCGCCUACUGGGUUCAAGUGAUUCUCCUGCCUCAGUCUCCCGAGUAGCUGGGAUUACAGGUGCUUUACUGACUUUUAAAAACUCAUUCAAAAUUCCUCAUGUAUAAAACCUCCUGGUGCACAUAUUAAGAACUCAUGGGUUAUAACUGAAAACAGAACUUCAUUCUUUUUCCCCAACAGAGAGUACCAUAACAAUUGUUAUUCCUAAUCUAUGGCUUAUUUCUUACAAACAUUGAAUAUAACAGCUUUCCAAUGAGUAAAUUUUUAUGUUCUUAUGCAGUGAAAGCAGAUAAAAUGUGCUUUAUGUUGGUCCUUUUCAAAACUGGUAGAAAACACAGUCCUUAAUCCAGAAAUUGUGAACUCUAAAUACAGGCUUACCAGAAAAGCCCUUGAAAGGCUAAAGAAAUUUGCGGAACCAUAUGAUAUACAUAAUAUGAAUUUUUUCUGACUUAACAUAUUUUUAACAAAAUGACACACCAAUUCCAUUAGCAAACAGAAGGCUAAAAAGGCACAGUGUGUGGGCUAACGGAGAUAAGGAGCACCCCAACCAGGAGGGAGAGGGUUUGUCUGGGGCCUGGUGAGUUCAUUAGUGAAUAAAGCACUCACCUGUCACAGACACCACUCUGAGUGCAGCCUGUGAUCCUAAAUAAAAUGAAUUUGUUGGUUUCAGCUCAGUGCUUCAGGGAAAGGGGUGGGAAAUCUCUUCAUUCAUUAUUUGCCAUGAUUGGCACCUCUGAGCUACACAAACUAAAUUUAGAUUAUUCAACUCUGAUUCCUUAAUCAGAAAAAUAACUGGGGAAGGGAGGAAUCAGGAGGCAUUCAGGGCAAGAGAAACAGUGGCUGCAUGUAACAAAUGGUAAGCUAUAAUGAUUACUCAGAGAAAUCUGAUCAAUUGUCCCUAGAAUCAUUUUACAACAAAGAGGCCACCAAAUCCAGGCCAACAUGCCAUGCGUUUUGACUUGCCCCUCUUCACCACGCAGAGCCUUCAGCCCAAUGGUGGUGACGGGUUUAUUAAUCCAUCUGCCCAUAUUUCCUGACCAUCUACCAUGAGCAAAACAUUAGGUCAUGUAGAGGAUAAAAGAGUGAAAAGGAAAACAAACAACAUUCUCAAACAGCUCAUUCGCUUAUGAAACAAGCGUAUGGGAGACUCCAGUCUAUGUCAGGCACAUGGCAGGCACUGGGUGUGCAGCAAUGAACCGGACAGUCCCUAAUUUCACGGAACGUACCUUCUAGAAGGCAAGGCAGACAAUCGUUUUACAACAAAGAUGAAAGACAUACAACAUAUUGUCAGGUAUGGCUAGGGACCAGAAGAAAGCUAAAGGAGGUGGAGGAAGGGAGAGAGGCCGCAACUGCCCAGGUCAGUAGUGCAGUCAGGACCAGCCUCUCUGCAAAGGUGGCAUUUCAGCAGUGACCUGAAGGGAGUGAGGGCGUUGUCCGGGGAAGGGCUUGCAAGCAGAGAGGCCAGCAAGCGCUGGAACACAUUUGAGGCUUGUAUUCAUUUCCUAGGGCUGCUGGAACAAAAUACCACAAACCAGGCAGGCAAAUGUGUUGUCGUCCAGUUUUGAAGGCUAGAAAUGCAAAAUCAGGGUGUCAGCAGGGCUGUGCUCCCUCUGAAACCUGUAAGGGAGAAUCCUUCCUUGCCUUUUUUAGCUCAUGGCGGUGGCAACAAUCCUUGGCGUUCCUCAGCUUGUAGAUGCAGCACUCCAUCCUCUGCCUCCACAGUCACAGCCUGUCUUCUCCUCUUGGAAGGACGCCAGUCAUUUUGGAUUAAAGGCCUACUCUAAUAACCUCAUCUUAACCUGACUGCGUCUGCAAAGACCCUGUUUCCAAAUAAGUUCAUGUUUACAGGUACCUGGGGGCUAGGAUGUCAACAUGUCUGUUGGGGGAACACAACUCAGCCCCAUAACAAGGCUGUCAAAGAACAGCAGGGAGGCCACAUGGCUUGAGUAGGGGGGCGGCGAGAGGUAGGGGAACCAGGGCGGAUUGAUGUAGAACUUUGUAGGUAAUGAAAAACUGUGUCUUCUGAGUGACCUCCAUUCUUCACUUAUACUGCAUGACUAAAUGUGCCCAUUGUGGCUGGGUGCCGUGGCUCACGCCUGUAAUCCCAGCACUUUGGGAGGCUGAGGCGGGCAGAUCACCUGAGGUCGGGAGUUUGAGGCCAGCCUGAGCAACACAGAGAAACCCGUCUCUACUAAAAAUACAAAAUUAGCCGGGCAUGGUGGCACAUGCCUGUAAACCAGCUACUGAGGAGGCUGAGACAGGAGAAUCGCUUGAACCUGGGAGGCGGAGGUUGUGGUAGGCCAAGAUUGCACUGUUGCACUGCAGCCUGGGCGACAUGAGCGAAACUCCAUCUAAAAAAAAAAAAGUGCCCAUUGUGAUUUUUUUUUUUUUUUUUUUUAGCUCAUUCAUACUGGGUGUUUUUUCCAGGGUUCUCUGCUUCCUGGGUGGUGGAAGGGUCCCUAAGAGGCCUUUCUGAUUUGCUUCUUCCAGGACCCAGGGGUCCCACCAGUCUUAGACCAAGUUUGUGUGAAUAUCUCAACUUGGUUGUCCUGUUCCCUGCAGUUGUAUAAAUUCACAGCCAGGGAGUAGGCAUUCCCCAGAGCCCUGGGAAGAUGGCAGGCUUCCUUGUGCUUCUCUGGGCUAGAGAGCCAAUUUUCUGGAUUACUUUUCACAGAAGUGCCGGGCCUCUGCGGCCCUGCUUCAUGGAGGGGUCUGGUUCUAGCUCCACCUUCCUAUGGCUGCAUGGGCAUUCUAGGAGCUGGGCACAUGAUGUGUUCACUGUGAAAACUCAUGGAGUUGCAUGCUUAUGAUGUAUGCCUUUUUCUGUAUAAAUGUUAUACUUUAAUGAAACUUUUUUUUUUAAGGGGCCCCUUGGUGCCUUUAUCUGGCUGGGCACUGGCUGGGCUCAAUUCUCCCUGGAGCCCCCAUUCCUAACCUAACAGCUCUGACUUUGAGAUUCUCUCUAGCCCCUCCCCUCCAAUUCUGAUACCCAGAGAUGUUCCUUUCUCACCUAGGAUUUUGAGGGCAAAUAGAUGUAUCUAGUAAAUCUGUUUAUAAUGCGGUAACAAGAGGUGAGCAGAAGUUUCCCUGAUAAAAGUGAGAGAGGGUUUCAGGCUAAGAAGAUGAAGGAAUGCUUUCCAUCGAGGAGGUGUCUGAACUUACAAUAAGAGGACUGAGAUAGGCUGAAUGUGCAGAGACAGCAAGAAGGUGGAAGAGCACAUGAGAACCAGGAGCAAGACCUUCACUUGGCCAUAGCACAGGGUAUGGCGAGGACUAGGAGAAAAGGCUGGGGUCCCAGCCCGAAUGCACUGAGGGCUUGGCCCUUCAUAGGCCAGCAGAGGCAUCAAGAGCCAUGACAGUCAGGGAGGUGAGCAGCUGCUGUGGCAGAGAAUACUGAGCAAACAGGGUGUGGGUCAUAGGACGUAAUAGGGGCCAGGCAAGGAGACCAAGCUGGACAGAGUGGCCACAGGUGAGGAUUGAGGUGUGGAGCAGAGUGGCAAUGGAAGUGAAGAUGGCAGGGGAGCAAAUGGUAUGGAGAAGGCCAGGCCCAGUGGCUCACACCUGUAAUCCUAGCACUUUGGAGGCUGAGGCGGGAGGAUUACUUGAGCCCAGGAAUUUAAGACCAGCUUGGGCAACAUGGCAAAACCCCAUCUCUACAAAAAAUACAAAGAUUAGCUGGGCAUGGUGGUGUGCACCUGUAGUCCCAGCUACUCAGGAGGCUGAGGCAGGAGGAUUGCUUAAGCCAGGGAGGCCAAGGCUGCAAUGAGCAGUGAUCACGCCACUUGCACUCCAGCCUGAGCAGCAGAGUGGGACCCUGUUUCAAAAAAUAUAUUUAAAAUUUUUUAAUUAAAAAUUUAAUUUUUUUAAAAAAAGAUAUGGAGAAGUCGAGAGGACAGGCACAGGUUAUGGCAUCUUAAAGAUAAGAAGCAGGCUGGAAUCAAGUAACUCCAAGGUUUCUGGUCUUCAUGAGGCCGAAAAAGAGAAGCACAUUAGUUAGCAGCAGAGCUGGUCUGAGACAAAGCUGGGGGCUCUUUGUCAUUGCUGUUCUCAUUGUUUUGUUUCUAACCACAUAUAUUUUAUGCUGCAGGAAGUAGAAAAGACAAAGAGGUACAGCUAAUUUUUUUUUUUUUUUUUAGACAGAGUUUCACUCUUGUUGCCCAGGCUGGAGGGCAAUGGCACCAUCUCGGCUCACUGCAACCUCCGCCUCCCAGGUUCAAGCAAUUCUCCUACCUCAGCCUCCCGAGUAGCUGGGAUUACAGGUGCCUCCCAUCACACCCAGCUAAUUUUUUGUAUUUUUAAUAGAGACAGGGUUUCACCACAUUGGUCAGGCUGGUCUCAAACUCCUGACCUCAAGUGAUCCACCCGCCUCAGCCUCCCAAAGUGCUGGGAUUACAGACAUGAACCACACUGUGCCUGGCCAAAUUUUUUUAAAAAGUUUUAGUGGUCAUUGAUAUAGCAAUAGUGAUUGAACCUAGCCAUUCAUUCAUCAUUUUUUCAGAGCCUGCUAUGUGCCUUGCAUAGCCCACCGCUGCCCACAAGCAGCUUAUACACCAGCAGAGAAGCAGCUAUCUAAACAAAGAGAAAUAAAAGGUACAGAGGUCUGUUCUGGGUUCCAUACAGCAGCGGGAGGCAAGGGGCAGGGCUGUCAGGACAGCCCCCAGGCAGAGGCUGCUGGUGCCCCGUAUCAUUUCCAGGAAGACGGGGCGGCUGCUGGGGGACAGGCCUUGCAGGUCAGGAGGGCAGCAAGCCCUGUGACAGCAAGAUGGGUUCUGCAGCUGCUGGUUGGUCAGUGAGAAGGGACGAUCUGAAGGAUUUAGCGAGGUGAGUACUGAGUCCUGGAGGUGGGCAGGGGCCGGCUCACAGGGAGCCUGGUGAGCCAGGGUCAAGGUCUGGGCUGGGUCCUGUAUGCCACAGACUAGAGUAGCUGCAACAAGGAAAGUUAAGACAGGCUUCUGGGUCACACUCACAUUUAGCCCGCAGGAAAAGGAGUCACAAUAACUGUAAUGGCUUCCAUUUAUUAAGUGCCAGACAUGGAAUCGCUGCAACUGGCUUAUAAAGAGGAGGUACCACCCUGUUUUACAGAUGAGGAAAACAGAGUCACAGAGGUCCCCUGACUUGCCUGAAUCCAGUUAGCAAGGGGCAGAGCCAGUAUUUGGACCCAGGUAUGUUUGGCUCCCAAGCCAGGGCUGGCUCCAUACCUUCAGGGUGCAUCUCACAAGAGAAAAAGGUGACAGAAAGCAGGGGUCAGGCCAGGCAUGGUGGCUCACACCUGUAAUCCCAGCACUUUGAGAGGCCGAGGCACACACCUGUAAUCCCAGCCUUUGAGAGGCCGAGGCAGGCUUGAGGUCAGGAGUCCAAGACUAGCCUGGCCAAUGUGGCAAAACCCCAUUUCUACUAAAAAUACAAAAAUUAGCCUGGUGUGGUGGUGUAUGCCUAUAAUCCCAGCUACUAGGGAGGCUGAGGCAGGAGAAUCACUUGAACCCAGGAGGCAGAGGUUGUAGUGAGCCGAGAUCACACCACUGCACUCCAGCCUGGGCAACAAAGCAAGACUCUGUCUCAAACAAAAAAAAGAAGGCAAGCAGGGGUCAGAGAGCGCCUAUGGAGUUCUCACCACUCACCCAGGUGUUCCUGUCACCAAUGUCACGGAUUUGUUAGAGGCACUGAAUUAUGAAUUCAAAUUUGUGCGUGAACCUGAAUGCACGAAGGAAAUUCUUUUUUAACAGACAUAGCCAGAGAAUAAUAGGUAUCUACCCAUUCCCAUAACCCAGUUAAAUUUCACUUAUAACCUUUCAGAGUUACAUACUGCUUUUUUCCCAUUUACAGAGAAUUCAUCAUUCUCCUUGCUAUUUUUUCCUUCCUAAUAGCUAAUAACGGAUCAUUUCUUCCCUUUUGUUUAUGCCCACUCCCUUUUGAUUGGUCUUCAAAUACAGAGUAAUGACCUCUGGGUAAAGAUGGGGCUUGAACACUAGGGUAUAGUUUCACUCUCUCCCAAAAACCACACUGAAAUGAUGGUAGAGGUUUUGUUCAUGACGGUGGUAUUUUUUGUUUUUAAGCACAAACCUAAAAGAAUGGGAAAAAAGAAAAAGGGAACCACCAUGGAAUUUUUAAAGUGGCAGCAGAUGAAUAAAUACUUAAUGUUUUAGCAGACCUGAGAAAACUGAAUCCUAAGCUGGCCAUCCGUAUUAAACAAAAACCAUCCAGAUUACACUAGGGGGCUCAGGACUGGCAGUCGCAGGUACCACUGGAAGUAGGGAUGAAAGGAGAUGCUAGAAUGAGAUGGACGGAAAGUCUGUUAAAGCAGGCUGGGCACGAUGGCUCACGCCUAUAAUCCUAGCACUUUGGAAAAAAAAAAAAAAAAAAAAAAAAAAAAAAGCAACCCAACGUGGAGGAAACUG